AGUUUGCUAAGAAGGGAGCUUUCUCAUACAGCCUGCUUUGCUCUCCUUUCCUGCUCUUGAGGAUUGCCUUGUGACUACUGCACUCCUGCAACCGAACGUAAGGCACAACCCAAACAGAAUUCGAGAGACGAGACAGAAGAGCGCGGCAGAGCUGCCUGCAGAACCAGCCACAUAUUAUGUUUGUUUCUGUGGACCACUCAUUUUUCAACCCAAACCAGUGGAAAUGGAGUUUGAAAUAAAUGAGUAUCCAGAAUGGAGCAGCUAUGUCUCUAAAGGCUAAGUUUAUGGCCUGUAAAUAAGGUCGUGCUGGAAUAGGUGCACCUCAGAACAAGUGUGGCUGUGCCUAAGUCUAUGCUGCAGCAGGUGUUUCUCUGAAGAGACUGUCCCCCAUAGGGAAUCAGUAUUGUACACAGACAACUCAACCCCUCUUAGUAUUACAAACUGGUUCUUAAACUGUGGUCAGCAAGAGAGGCAGAACUCUGUGACGGCAGUCUGCACAGUGUGCUACAUUCUUCGUUUAGCCGACUGGGUGGCUACAACCUUCAGGUUCUGCACUCCAGACGUGGUAUAGGAUGAAUGCCUUCGAAAGGAUCAGAUAGAGUGAUCCCACAAUAAAACUGACACCUCGUCAAACACAUGCACUGCCCAAUGCCAUCACUGCUACUUAAACCGGGGAGAUCCAU